GAGAGGGAGAUCUGUACAGUAAUAUCAAUCGGCUAAUUGUGCUACAGAUUCCCGCCCCUCCAAUGGUUGUACUACUGAUCGAAGAGGAGGAUUUAUCAGGAGCCCUGCUGCGGUUAUGUUGCAUAGUCAAGUACGGACAGAUUGCCUCUUUAAAGAACAUUGGCAGGAAAUUCGACGCUCGUGCCCUGAUGUCCAAGAAAAAGUGAGGCGUCAUUUGCUCUCUUCCAAUUUGUGUGAACCAUUCUGCAACCUACGGAAUUUUGGAAGAUGAUGAACAGUGCGCCUGCCUGAAAGACUACGGAUCAAGUUCUGGAAUUUGGGCAGCUAUUUUCCAGCCGGCACGGACUCCAUCUUCUAUGUCGUCAACUCUACGAUUCCUUGAAACUGGCAAGACGUCUGAUUCACACAACACAGUGGAAACCUGGAGCGAUCUCCCCAA